GACUACUGGGGUAUCUAAUCCUGUUUGCUCCCCACGCUUUCAUGCCUCAGCGUCAAUAAUGUUCCAGUAGAUCGCCUUCGCAAUCGGUAUUCCUAGUGAUAUCUACGGAUUUUACCCCUACACCACUAAUUCCAUCUACCUCUCCCAUAUUCUAGGUAACCAGUUUCGAAAGCAGUUCAACGGUUGAGCCGUUGGAUUUCACUUUCGACUUGAUUUCCAGCCUACGCAUCCUUUACGCCCAGUGAUUCCGAGUAACGCUUGCACCCUCCGUAUUACCGCGGCUGCUGGCACGGAGUUAGCCGGUGCUUAUUCAUAGGGUACCGUCAUUAUCUUCCCCUAUAAAAGGAGUUUACACACCGAAAUGCGUCAUCCUCCACGCGGCGUUGCUGCAUCAGAGUUUCCUCCAUUGUGCAAUAUUCCCCACUGCUGCCUCCCGUAGG
rnacentral:rRNA from 1 species